ACCCUUCUGUAGGUCUAGUGAUUGUUCUUUUUCUAGGGCGUCGAAAAGAAUUGUUUCUCCAACUACAUUACUACCAUUAGUGAUGAGGCCUAGAUCAACGACCAGCUCCGAUUCUCUCUUUUCUUCUCCGAAUUACUUGUGUAUUUCAAAUUCGGAGCCGAAAUCUAGUCAAAGAGAACCAAUAAUCCGAAAUUCAACUAGGUUGGCCAGCCAUUGAUAAAAGGUCUCUAAAGAUUGUAGUCUUCUUCGCUUCACAGUGAUGAAAUGCAUAGCCGGGGACGGAAUCACCUACUAUCUGGUUCGGCUUCCAAAUCUCUAGUUUCGGUUCUCAUGCUAGCCAUGUUCGCCACCAUGGCAUCGAUUUACGUCACCGGCCGGUGCAAUCAGCCAAUGACACUGAAAAUUACAGAAACAGCAGAAGAAGUUAGCAGCCUUUGAGAUGGAGUUACUUGCAGCACAGCAGGAAUAUUUUGUCUCAAAGAACUUGUCAGAAAAUAAGUAACUCCUCCUAAGAAAAAGCAUUUAGCUGAUGUAGGAACGAUUACUAAGUUUGGCCACAAGAACAAUAGAGAUGCAAUCCAUAAGACAUGGAUACCAACUGGUAGAAUACCCUUCUUUUUAUACUCUAGAAGCAACUCUUGCUACUCAUUUGAAUAAGCCUUGAGUUUAUAUUGGGUGUAUGAAAUCAGGAUCCACAAGUGGUAAGAACCAGACUGGUAGCAAUUUGGUGAUGGAAAAUCAUACUCUAGAAGCAACUCUUGUUACUCAUUUGAAUAAGCCUUGAGUUUAUAUUGGGUGGAAAUUAGGCAAAGUUUUCUCAUUGAUCCACAAGUGGUAAGAACCAAACUGGUAGAAAUUUGGUGAUGGAAAACUGUGAUAGAAGUCCCAAUGAACAACUAGGGCAUUGUCCAAUAAGACGCUUGCUUGAUAGAGAGUCAGAGCACCAUUCCUGAAGUUUUUUAGGCAUUUAAACAAGUUAUCAUUCUAUCAUAUUUUUGCCAUCCGUUACACUUAAUUUGCCUACCCCAUGCACCCAUAUUUUAACCAUCUCAGCUCUGAUUUGUGCCGAGAAAUCCUGGAGUUUGCUUAGGGAUGCCUUUUCAGGAAGUCAGGCUUACAUUGGCUGAAGAUACAUUUAGCAAAUUUAUAUGCUGGUGGAGUGGACAAGUUAUCAUAUGAGGGUUGGGUGGCAUUUACUCAGAAUCAUUUGGAAGAUAUCUUUUAGUCCACAAACAGACCUCUGGAAGGAAGACGCUGGUGGUUGUCUGUCGAGGAUCCUUUUCAAUGUUUGGCACCGAGUAUUAAUCUCUCAGAAGCAUUAAGAAGCUCCCCUCCAAAGACUACUAUUUCACACAUGCCUGUCCACUAGGUGCUUCAUUCUUAGCAUGAUCACAUUCAAACUGAGAAAUGUUUACUGAGCGAAAUCAAAUUAAUCCCACCUCCUCUCUACUCCACCCAACCCCACAAUAAAAAAGAAAUCUCAAAACUAGCUUUUAUUGGAAUUGUGUUCUAUGCAUAAGCAUAUCAUUUGUUGCCCUAUUUAUUUUGUAUAAAUUCCUCCAAGUAUAUAGCUCUUCUGCAUUUACACAUGGAAAAUGACAGUCACAUGAUUGUACAUAUCCUUCAGAGUACCCCAUUUGUUACCCCAUUAUUAGGAGCAGAAAUAAUGGAUUGACCACUUCUUUCACAACCCUGUCUUAUGUUUGCACUAUCCUACUGUAGUAGGCUUGAGAGGAUAACAAACAUUUCCCGAACUUAACUUUUGUUUUCAUAUUAAAUGCUUAGAUUUAGGUCAUUUGUCUAUCCAAAACUUAAUCUAAGAUUGUAUUGUUCUAU